CUUCCUAAGCUAUUCUAUGCUUUCGGAUGAUAACACUUUCUUCUCAGCUUCAUGCUUCCUCCACCAUCCAGUUCUUUCUUGGUGGUCAGUUUUAAGUCUAAAACAGUGCCCUUUAGAUGUUUCCGUUUUCCUUUGAAAAACUAAAAUUUCUGCGGGAAAGGACGUUUAUUAGCCCGUGGGAUGAAACUUCUAAAGGGGACUCAAAUAAGAGGCACAAUGUCAAGUGUUCGCCGCUUCCUGUGUGUAUUUUCAUUUCUUCACCUGUGAAAGGGGAUAAAAUUGGAUGGUUAUCAUAGGGCUGUUGUGGAGGAUGGGUAAAUAUUUGUGUAUCGGCCACAGUGUACAUUCAGUAAAUUAUCGCUGCCAUUAUUGUUAUGGCUGUUGUUAGUAAUUGUCAUGACCACUAAAUUUUAUUUUUUCCCAUUUUCUGAACUAAACUAAGAAAGCAUCUUCCAGAAUUGAGCUCAUACCUUGGACUGAGUGUAUAGCACAAUAUGACUUCUGUUUUCUUUUCAACUUAGCCCAGAUCUUUGUCAGCAUGUUUCCAUACUUGUUCUAUAUUCUAGAGUUGUAUAGAAACGUGAUAAUCAGUACUAAUUCCUUUACAGCAGCUUAUCACAUCCGUUUUCUUCCCGCAGUAUAAAUACUUUUACUAUAGGAGCGCAUCCACUUUCUCUGACUACCCCCAAGGAGACCAUGACUUGGUGAUAGGAAGUAUUCAAAGUUGCUGCUUUGAAAAGGAAAUGUGCCCAUGGUGAUAGUGGAAAUAAAACUCCAUUUAGUAGCAUGAUUAUAGUUUGACAUAGAGAAUGGUUUUCUAGGGGUAAUAAAGGCCUGAUCCCAACAUAACUCCAUUGUGCAAACUUCUAAUUUGUGCGGGUACUAAUAUAUGAGCAUUAGACUAGCUAAGCUAAAAGGUUGUUUCCAAGUUUGAAAUUCUGUUGUUCUCUUCAUCUGUCUUGAUAGCAGUCCCUCUGCUGAUGGCCACCUCUGUUUGAGUGUAUUUCCUCUAGCAGAUGUUAAUUCUGAUCAGCUUAAUUUAAUUGUAUUUUAACUACCUUCAGAAGACCAUAGUUCUUUGAGAUAUCAGAAAACAAAUUAACUUUGGCAUAAUUAAAAAUGCAAUGAGUUAUAAAAGUUAAAACAGUUUGAUUUAUUUCAGCUGGUAAUUAAAUUAGUUUGGGUGCAAUAAUAAGAAUACAAUAAUAAAAACUCAUGCAAUGUCAUUUUGGGCACAGCCUCACAAGGGUAGAGGAUGGCAGGAAACCACUCAUGUGAGGUGAGAGAAUAUACUACAGAAUAAGAAGCAAGCCCAGCGUAAGUGAUGCUGAUAGUUCCAGGUGGGAAAAACAAGGGUCCUGGAAUUCAGUUUUUUAAAAUCGCAAAUGCUCAUUGGUGUCAAAUACGGUCUUUAGGUCUCAUGGGAGUUUUAUUUUUUUAGCAUGUUUCUACUUCCCAAUAAUUUUCAGAUUACAGAAGUAAAAGAUAAUUUAAAUAGCAUUUUUUGUGUUGCAAAUAUUACAUGAACAAGCAGAGUCUUACAAUCAAAUAGUCACUGGGCUUUACUUCAAUAAUCAAUUCUCAUUUCUGUAAGUGCGUUCCAGUGCAAGCCUCUGAAUUUGUCUAGCUCUGAUGUAAGUUUGCUACAACUAAUCGCUUUUAAAUCAUGUUCAUCUUAAAAUGUUUUGGGCACUGUUAGUUGGGGGCUGGUUUACACUGACUCCUGGUUCCCCUUUUUCUAGAUUUGUGAACCUUUCCCCAUCUCAAAGCAGCAUGAAGCUUUUGUCAUUGCCAAUGCAGAAGAAAUGAGUUGAAUAUGCGUUAGUUCAUUUUCCCCCCAACUUUGGAAAAUAAAUUUGAAGGGGAAAGAAACUAGAUCUUAAAUGUUUUGGAUAAGUGUGCAUUUUGUUUGCUAGGCCAAAACUGCCAGGAGGUAGAAUUGAAUUCACCAUGAUAGUCAUAAGAAGUGUUUUGAAAAUCCCCCAUUAUCCAGUGGGACUCUCCGUCCCCUCAGCCUCCUCUCAGAUUGUCAGCAUGGAGGUGAGAGUGGGGAGAAGACAGUUCUUGCACGUGCUCGGUGAUCUGGCCGCCACCUGCUCCAGCCUUCUGUUCCCUUUUGGCUUGUGUUCUGCGAGGUCUUGUUAGCUGCCAGGGCUGCUAAUGUCUGAUGCCCUUGCAGCAUUUUUUCCUUUUCUACUAACCUGGCCUGUGGCCUCUUUUGUGGAACACUAUUACCUGGGGUAUGUAAAGCAAAAUUGUGCUAUUAGUGGCAUAUUGGAAUUAUAAUAAUUUAAAAAAAUAGAACAACUCUUAGCUUCUAUUGACUUAUAACUCCUCUAGGGUCGGAGCUGAAGGGUAAUCCGAAGGACAAAUGCCUUUUCUGUGUGACCUGGCCCAACUCGUAUGUCUGGAUUCUUGUUCUAUUGGGGAAAGCUCUUCUCCAGGAAACUCCAAGAUGCUCUAAAAAAAAAAUCUCUCUGGGUAGUUGUUUCUGUUCUCGGGAAAUAAUCUGAGUAAAGGGCAUAACAAUAUGGAACCUUAGUGCUAAUGCUUCCAUUAUCUUUUAUUACCAAAGGAAUUUAUCUACAGAUACAAAUUUUCACUCUUCUAUUAUGUAGCUCCUUUCAUUUAUUCAAUGACGUUUACUAUGUUCCAGGUAUAUUUCUAGUCAGUGUUUGUCAACUGGGAUGACUCUAUCCAGCUGCAUUUCCACUGGAAAAUCUCGACAAUUUUGCCUUCCAAAUAUGCUCCAGAUUUUCAGUACUUCCACUUCUAACAUAUAAUCCAAUGUAGCACCUCAGGUUGGUUCUACAGUAGCCCCCAGUGGACCUCUCUGCUGCUACUUUGUGCCGUUACCAUCUAUUCUUCCUACAACAGCCAGAGUAGUGAUCAAAAAAUGAGAAUCAUACCAUGACCCUUCCGUUCAACGGCCUCUCAUCACACUUAGGCUUUAUCAUCAUAAUCUGUGAUUGGGCUAUUGACUGCUGUUCCCAAAUAAACUCCCAUGACUUUCCCUCUGCUCAUUUAGCUCCUGGUAAAAUUGGACUGCUUUAUUACAUAUGUAAAUCUCUCUCUCUCUCUCUCUCUCUGCAUUAUAUGGACAAAAGUGGGAAAGUUUUCACAUCACAACCAUGUGUGGGUUGGCUGCUUACUCAUAGUUCUAACCUACAGACUUACCUUUAUCAUCAGACUUUGAAAGACCUGUUAUUCAGAAUGGAUAAUAAGUAGAUAUUUGACCUGGGAGUCCUUAGCCCUAAGUUAUAUACCAGCCUUCAUUUCUUUGGGCUUAGUAGUUGAAACAGUCAUAAGAGUUUGGAUGAAAACAUAAAUGCUUUGGAAAUGCAAGGUAAGACUUUGGAACGUGUGUGUCACUAUCCCCAUGACUGUCCCACCAGCCUGUCCCAAAGUUUGAGGGAUCUUCGAUGGUCCAUCUCUUUUAGGGCCUGAGGAUCUAUGAAUCAUCAGGUUCCCUUUUUUUAUUAUAUUUGGCCCAUCAUUUUCCAGUUCCUGUCCCCCAGAAUUAAAGAAGAAAUGAUGUUUAAGGAUGCUUUUUU